rnacentral:rRNA from 1 species
CGAACGGGGAUGCAUUAAGAAGGAGUGCUUGCAUUCCGGAAGGAUGCCCCUUAAUGGCGGACGGGUGAGUAACGCGUGGGUAACCUGCCCCAUACCGGGGGAUACCACCUGGAAACAGGUGCUAAUACCGCAUAAGCGCACGGGAGCGCAUGCUCCUGUGUGAAAAACUCCGGUGGUAUGGGAUGGACCCGCGUCUGAUUAGCCAGUUGGCAGGGUAACGGCCUACCAAAGCGACGAUCAGUAGCCGGCCUGAGAGGGUGGACGGCCACAUUGGGACUGAGACACGGCCCAAACUCCUACGGGAGGCAGCAGUGGGGAAUAUUGCACAAUGGGGGAAACCCUGAUGCAGCGACGCCGCGUGAGUGAAGAAGUAUUUCGGUAUGUAAAGCUCUAUCAGCAGGAACGAGACAAGACGGUACCUGACUAAGAAGCCCCGGCUAACUACGUGCCAGCAGCCGCGGUAAUACGUAGGGGGCAAGCGUUAUCCGGAAUCACUGGGUGUAAAGGGAGCGUAGACGGCUGAGCAAGCCUGAAGUGAAAGGCGGGGGCCCAACCCCUGGACUGCUUUGGGAACUGUACGGCUGGAGUGCAGGAGAGGUAAGUGGAAUUCCUAGUGUAGCGGUGAAAUGCGUAGAUAUUAGGAGGAACACCAGUGGCGAAGGCGGCUUACUGGACUGUAACUGACGUUGAGGCUCGAAAGCGUGGGGAGCAAACA